rnacentral:rRNA from 1 species
AACGAACGUUAGCGGCGCGCUUAACACAUGCAAGUCGAGCGAGAAAGGGGCAACCCCGGUAAAGCGGCGCACGGGUGAGUAACACGUAGGUAAUCUACCCUCGGGUGGAGGAUAACUUUCCGAAAGGAAGGCUAAUACUGCAUGAGACCACGGCCUCGGAAAGGGGCAGGGGGUCAAAGCCGGCCUCUGUACACAAGCUGGCGCCUGAGGAUGAGCCUGCGGCCCAUCAGCUAGUUGGUAGGGUAAUGGUCUACCAAGGCGAAGACGGGUAGCUGGUCUGAGAGGAUGAUCAGCCUCACUGGAACUGAGACACGGUCCAGACUCCUACGGGAGGCAGCAGUGGGGAAUAUUGCGCAAUGGGCGAAAGCCUGACGCAGCCACGCCGCGUGAGCGAUGAAGGUCUUCGGAUCGUAAAGCUCUGUGGGGGGAGAAGAAGAAAGCCGGUGAAGAGCCGGCCCUGACGGUAUCCCCUUAGCAAGCACCGGCUAACUCCGUGCCAGCACG